GAUGAAGAACGUAGCGAAAUGCGAUAAGUAAUGCGAAUUGCAGAAUUCCAGUGAGUCAUCGAAGCUUUGAACGCACAUUGCGCCCCUUGGUAUUCCGAGGGGCAUGCCUGUUCGAGCGUCAUUAUAACCCCUCAAGCUCAGCUUGGUGUUGGGGCCUGCUGCACUGGCAGCCCUUAAAAUCAGUGGCGGCGCCAUCUGGCUCUAAGCGUAGUAAUUCUUCUCGCUAUGGAGUCCUGGUGGAUGCUUGCCAUCAACCCCCAAUUUUUCUAUGGUUGACCUCGGAUCAGGUAGGGAUACCCGCUGAACUUAAGCAUAUCAAUAAGCGGAGGA
rnacentral:misc_RNA from 1 species